rnacentral:rRNA from 1 species
GACGAACGCUGGCGGCGUGCCUAACACAUGCAAGUCGAACGGGGUAGCAAUACCCAGUGGCGAACGGGUGCGUAACACGUGAGGAACGUAGCCAUCGGCGGGGGAUAGCCGGCCCAACGGCCGGGUAAUACCGCGUACGACCUUCGGUGGCAUCACCUGGGGGUGGAAAGCAGCAAUGCACCGAUGGGGCGGCCUCGCGGCCUAUCAGCUAGUUGGUGGGGUAACGGCUCACCAAGGCGACGACGGGUAGCUGGUCCGAGAGGAUGACCAGCCACAUUGGGACUGAGACACGGCCCAGACUCCUACGGGAGGCAGCAGUGGGGAAUAUUGCGCAAUGGGCGAAAAGCCUGACGCAGCGACGCCGCG